rnacentral:misc_RNA from 1 species
AAGUCGUAACAAGGUUUCCGUAGGUGAACCUGCGGAAGGAUCAUUACCGAGUUAGGGUAUUCUUCGUGCCCGACCUCCAACCCUUUGUCUACCUGACCAGAUGUUGCUUCGGCAGGCCCGCCGCCCCGCAAAGGGCAGCCGCCGGGGGUCCUUACCGGCCCCGGGUCCGUGCCUGUCGAUGGCCCUUCUAAAACUCUUGCUUAAAACGUGUCGUCUGAGUAAACAAACGAAAUAAAAACAAAACUUUCAACAACGGAUCUCUUGGUUCUG